rnacentral:tRNA from 1 species
UGGGAUGUAGCUCAGUGGUCCAGAGCUUGCCUGGGAAUAUGCAAGGUCCUAGGUUCAAUCCCUGGCAUUGAAA